rnacentral:rRNA from 1 species
UUCCCUACGGGGGGCAGCAGUGAGGAAUAUUGGUCAAUGGCCGGAAGGCUGAACCAGCCAAGUCGCGUGAGGGAAUAAGGCCCUAUGGGUCGUAAACCUCUUUUGUCAGGGAGCAAAGGCGUCCACGUGUGGACGAGAGGAGAGUACCUGAAGAAAAAACAUCGGCUAACUCCGUGCCAGCAGCCGCGGUAAUACGGAGGAUGCGAGCGUUAUCCGGAUUUAUUGGGUUUAAAGGGUGCGUAGGCGGUCCGGAAAGUCAGCGGUAAAAGCCCGGGGCUCAACCCCGGCGAGCCGUGGAAACUGGC